rnacentral:snoRNA from 1 species
AUUACAAAAGGCUGAUCGAGAAAAUUUAAUAGUUAGAGAGACAUACUAUAUAUUGCCCCAGGCGGGAUGAAGGGGCUGAGUGGGCGCAUGCCCUCAAUGAAGCCACUUGCGAACUUGGGGCGACAGGCGGUGUCGAGACGUCCCCUUCGGAGAGAGUAUACGCUUUCGAUGAUGUAGGGGCAACCCCGACACCGCACAACCCCGAUGGGUCAGCGGUCUUGAGCGGGCAUUUGCCUUCGAUGAGAGACCGUGUUAGCGUUCGGGGAACAUCUCA